rnacentral:rRNA from 1 species
UGGGGAAUUGUUCGCAAUGGGCGCAAGCCUGACGACGCAACGCCGCGUGGAGGAUGAAGAUCUUCGGGUCGUAAACUCCUUUCGAUCGGGACGAAUGGCCGGUGACCUAAUACGUCACUGGAGUGACGGUACCGAGAGAAGAAGCCCCGGCUAACUCUGUGCCAGCAGCCGCGGUAAUACAGAGGUGGCAAGCGUUGUUCGGAAUUACUGGGCGUAAAGGGCGCGUAGGCGGUUUGUCAAGUCCCGUGUGAAAGCCCCCGGCUCAACCGGGGAACGGCGCGGGAAACUAGCAGGCUUGAGUUCGGGAGAGGGAAGCGGAAUUCCGGGUGUAGCGGUGAAAUGCGCAGAUAUCCGGAGGAACACCGGUGGCGAAGGCGGCUUCCUGGACCGACACUGACGCUGAGGCGCGAAAGCUAGGGGAGCAA